rnacentral:ncRNA from 2 species
CGGGCUCUCGCGGGAGAGACCGGGCCCUGGCCCGGCGCUGAAGGCGAAACCGCCCCGGAAACGCUCAAGCAGAAGGACCGCGACGGCGUC